UACGGGGGGGGCAAGCGUUGUUCGGAAUUACUGGGCGUAAAGCGUGCGCAGGCGGCUUUGCAAGACAGGUGUGAAAUCCCCGGGCUUAACCUGGGAACUGCAUUUGUGACUGCAUAGCUAGAGUGCUGUAGGGGUGCGGAAUACCUGGUGUAGCGGUGGAAUGCGUAGAGAUCAGGUGGAACACCGAUGGCGAAGGCAGCACCCUGGACGAGUACUGACGCUGAGGCGCGAAAGCGUGGGGAGCGAACGGG
rnacentral:rRNA from 1 species